AGUCAUUACUACAUGCAGGUAGGUAUCAGAUGAUAGACCUUGGCUUGUUAUCUGUUUAUAGGAGAGGGGAAGGGAGAAGCAAGGCAGAUUUUUCUAUGGCAAGUUCCUUGUGGAGGGGGAUUCAGAAUGGUGUGCAUUUCAUAACACCUUGUAACCUGAUCUGCUCUGGACUAGUGGGGUUGGGAACCUGUAGCAUCCAGCCACUUGCCUGAACACUGGAUCUAUUGGCCACUGAGACCAGAGGAAUGAAUUGGUCACCAAUACCAACAGCAUUCUAGAUGCUCAUCCCAAGUAGGAACUUGAUGAUGUUUUAGGGGAUGGAACCAGAAAUUAUUAACUCUGGAAGACCUGACUAGGUGAUGGUUAAAUCAUCCUCUUAUUAUUAGGGCCAAGAUCUUAUUUCUCUUAUUAUUAUGGCCUUAGUCUUCAUCUCCUGCUCUUCCCAGCCCCAUCAUUUCCUUUGCUGUUGAAUAUACACACUAAUAACUGGGUUGCCACACUCCUGAGGGAUUCACUUGGUAUCAUGGAGAUAAUGGGCUCCAGCCUUACCUCUUUUCCCACUGUCAAGGUGAUAGCGCUUAGCACAGUGCUUGGCACAUAAGGGGAGCUUAAUAAGUGUUUAUUGAUUGCUUGAUUGAUUGAUCUUCUCUGUUCUCUUCUUUUGGUCUGACCAGGCAUGUUGUGGCUUGAAAAUCAACAGAAUACGUCAUCACCUUCUGAAGAAAAAAGAAUUAGGUCUAUGUUAGCUUCAUGAUCUGUGGCUGAUUUUCCUUGGCCAAAUGAGCUCACUUAGCAGUUAACUGGUAGAGUGGAGAAGAGAGCUGGACCUGGAGUCAGGAAGACCUGAGUUCAAAUUUAGCCUCUGACACUUAUUAGCUGCGUGAUCCUGGGCAAGUCAACUACUCUCUGUCUGCCUCAGUUCAAAAGUCUGAGGGUCAAAUGAGGCGAUAUUUGUAAAAGAGUUUAGCACUGUGCCUGGCAUAUAGUUGGUGCUUAAUGAAUGCUUAUUCCCUUGAGCAUAAACAACUGGAGUUAUUGCAACCGUGCUAGGCACAAGCAUUUUAUUGAGGGAAUUUCAUUUGUUUCCCCCUAAAAAAUUCCAAUAAAGUCAGC
rnacentral:lncRNA from 1 species